rnacentral:misc_RNA from 1 species
UACGUAGGGGGCGGGCGUUGUCCGGAAUUAUUGGGCGUAAAGGGCUCGUAGGCGGUUUGUCGCGUCGGGAGUGAAAACAUCGGGCUUAACUCGGUGCUCGCUUUCGAUACGGGCAGACUUGAGGCAUGCAGGGGAGAACGGAAUUCCUGGUGUAGCGGUGAAAUGCGCAGAUAUCAGGAGGAACACCGGUGGCGAAGGCGGUUCUCUGGGCAUGUUCUGACGCUGAGGAGCGAAAGUGUGGGGAGCGAACAGG